rnacentral:rRNA from 1 species
CUACGGGAGGCUCCAGUCGAGAAUCUUCCGCAAUGGGCGCAAGCCUGACGGAGCAAUGCCGCGUGGGGGAUGAAGGCCUUCGGGUCGUAAACCCCUGUCAGAUGGGACGAACUUUGACGGUACCAUCAGAGGAAGCCACGGCUAACUACGUGCCAGCAGCCGCGGUAAUACGUAGGUGGCGAGCGUUAAUCGGAUUCACUGGGCGUAAAGGGUCCGUAGGGGGUCUGUCAAGUCGGGUGUGAAAUCCUGCGGCUCAACCGCGGAACUGCACUCGAUACUGGCGGGCUUGAGUCCGCGAGGGGUGAACGGAAUUCCUGGUGUAGCGGUGGAAUGCGUAGAUAUCAGGAAGAACACCGACGGCGAAAGCGGUUCACUGGCGCGGCACUGACCCUGAGGGACGAAAGCGUGGGUAGCGAACAGGAUUAGAUACCCGCGUAGUC